rnacentral:lncRNA from 1 species
GAGGCACUGAGAAGUGUUCCGUCCACAACACAGCGCCUCCCGGUGGAGAACUCGGUAAACGACCAGAAAGGAUCACUUCAUCUGGAUAUUUUAAGCUUCUGUUUUAAAUUGAAAUAAGGGACACGAAGGAGAAAGGUUAAAGUUGAUUUUAUCUACGACAAAUGUAGAUAAAUGUUCAAACAGAGUAAAAACCGUUGGGCGCCAAGAGGUUCGCGCGUUUCUUGAGGUGAGGUGAAGCGUUCAAAAAGAUACUAACGAAAACUAAAAACCAUGAGGCGUUACACUGAGUUUACAACGGUAAGAGUAUCUGAAACCUCUUUAAACCUUAGUAAGCAAAACUACCCUCUUUUUAGUAGGCUAUAUGUGUGUUUUGCCCGUACUUUUAUAAUCUCCCCCUGUGUUCCUCUACGCGUCCUUUAAAAAAAGACUCUGGAAAAAAUGGAACAUCAGAGAUAAAGUGUGUGUGUAUAUAUAUAUAUAUAAAACAGCCUUCAGAAUUAUUCUUUGGGAAAUUUGGAAAAAGUUGAAAUUGCAGUGUCGCCCAUCCACCACAAGAGAGAAGUAUACAUCUGACCAAACAGCAGGGGACACAAAGCUGGCCAGCUCACGGACGUUCAACUGUUUCAGGGCAGCCCAGAGCCAAGGACACCUUGCCAUGGCAAAAAAAAACUAAUGGAGAGACAACUGUCCCUGAGGUCAGAACAGGUGCUGCGGGAGAGGCCAGAGUCCGCCGGGACAGCUGUACUAUUCCUGUCCAGAACAGAGCCGGCUGACUGCGGAUCCACAGAGACUAAUGACAGAUGGACAGAUUUAUUCACUCCGAUGAGCAAUUUCCACACACACAGACUCGUGGAAAAUCAUGCAGCUGCAACACCCCGCGCCAAUUAACAUGACUGCGACCUCACACAUCCGGGUCAGUGCAUCCGAGCAGGGGAACAAAGGCAGAGCUGGUCCCAGAAUGUGAGUUCCCAAUUACCCUUG